rnacentral:rRNA from 1 species
ACGGGGUGCAGCAGGCGCGAAAACUCCGCAAUGUUCGAAAGAACGACGGGGGAACUCCAAGUGCACUUGCGCAAGCAAGUGGUUUUUAGUAGUGUAAAUAGCUGUUAGAAUAAGAGCUGGGUAAGACCGGUGCCAGCCGCCGCGGUAACACCGGCAGCUCGAGUGGUGACCGCUUUUAUUGGGCCUAAAGCGUUCGUAGCCGGUUCAGUAAGUCUUUGGGCAAAUCUUCUCGCUUAACGAAAAGAAUUCCGAAGAUACUGCUGGACUUGGGGCCGAGAGAGGUUGGAGGUACUCCUGGGGUAGGGGUGAAAUCCUAUAAUCCUGGGGGGACCGCCAGUGGCGAAGGCGUCUAACCAGAGCGGACCCGACGGUGAGGGACGAAAGCCAGGGGCGCGAACGGGAUUAGAUACCCCGGUAGUCCUGGCCGUAAACGCUGCAUGCUAGGUGUUGCAUGCUCUACGGGGGCAUGCAGUGCCGAAGAGAAGUUGAUAAGCGUGCCGCCUGGGAAGUAUUAUCGCAAGGUAGAAACUUAAAGGAAUUGGCGGGGGAGCACCACAAGGGGUGGAGUCUGCGGUUCAAUUGGAUUCAACGCCGGAAAUCUCACCGGAGGCGACGGCAGGAUGAUGGCCAGGUUGAAGAUCUUGCUUGACAAGCCGAGAGGAGGUGCAUGGCCGUCGUCAGCUCGUACCGUGAG